rnacentral:rRNA from 1 species
GACGAACGCUAGCUACAGGCUUAACACAUGCAAGUCGAGGGACCGGCGCACGGGUGAGUAACACGUAUCCAACCUGCCCUUUACUCGGGGAUAGCCUUUCGAAAGAAAGAUUAAUACCCGAUAUAAAGGAUGGGGAUGCGUUCCAUUAGGUUGUUGGUGAGGUAACGGCCCACCAAGCCUUCGAUGGAUAGGGGUUCUGAGAGGAAGGGCCCCCACAUUGGAGCUGAGGCACGGUCCAAACUCCUACGGGAGGCAGCGGUGAGGAAUAUUAGUCAAGGGGCGGUAGCCUGAACCAGCCAAGUGGCGUGAAGAAGGAAGGCUUAUGGAUCGUAAACUUCUUUUAUAUAAGAAUAUGUAUUAUAUGAAUAAGGAUCGGCUAACUCCGUGCCAGCAGCCGCGGUAAUUC